CCUUUUUUUAUUUGUACAAUGUGGACGUCAACAAACUGCUUGAUAUUUAUUGAGUAAACAACGAACGUCAAUAUUAGCAUUCUGCAGCUGCGACGCUAAUGAAACUACUAGAAUGCAGAAGAAAUAAUCUGGAACCACAAGAGAAGGCGUCCUUGGAGCAAACACCAAAAUCCAGCCCAAUCCCCAUCGGUUGCCAUAACAGCGAAGAUGAAUUUAUGUACAUAUCCGGCAAAUUAGAGCAAGUCUACAUCGAUGUAACAUCCGUAAGUUAUUGGAGAGACUGGUACCGCCAACUUACGCAAAAACGAACGCGCAGGCGUCGUUAGCCUACGGCAUACUCUCCCACCAAGCAGGGUAUCCACGGUACCAGCAAAUGAUCACGUGUAAUCCUGUGGGGCGAUAAAAUUUACGGCAAGAAACAUUUCUUGUUUCAUGGAGAACAAAUAAAAUCUGUGUUAGAAUCCAAUUUAAGCAUUAACAGCGGACACGUGUCACUAUUGAUGAGUCAUUGGUUCGAACGGAAACUAUCUGACGAAAGUGACGGUAGUUUAUCGAUCUCCUUCGAAGUCGUAUACCAACAUAAAGGCUGCCACCAUGAACCACCCAGUGAAGCUCUCAAUUUUAGUGAAUGUGAUGAUGAUGAUAGAAAAACCUUCGUUUUCGAUUGAUGAAAGAUGGUUAUGGUAAGGUUUUGCAUUAUCAGUGGACUUUAAAGAAAAUCUUUACGGAACACCGGAAGCUUCUGAAAUCUUCGAAGUAGCCCUGAUUGCUGGAUGUUGGCUGGAAGUAACGAGAUGACGUGACGGUAACCGUAAAAAGCAUGCAAGUAGCACAUCAAAGAGCAACAACACUUCGAGUUCUCCAAUCAUUUUGAUUUGCACAUGAAACCAGAUCUGGUUGGAAAACCCGAUAGCUCGUCAUCACCGUAGUUCCCAAACUUAGUAGACUGCGUAACGCAGCGACUUGACUGAGUUCGGUUAUAAUUGUAGUUUCUGUGAGUUGACUCAUUUCAAUCAAAGAGAAGGGUGCCAAGAUGCAGUGGAAUGCAAUUGCGGUUCUAAUCUUGGUACCCUUACUACUAAAAAUACGAUAUUCUAAAAGUGAAACUAACGACAAAAUUCCAGCAGAUGAAUUCAUUCGAUUAACACUGCUGCUGUGAAUCGUAAAGAGCAUGAUAGUGGACAUACCCGAUUGAGCUUUCUAUUUAUGAAGUCUCUAGGAUAGCAGAAUACGAGCAUUAUAUU